AUCCAGCUCCAGCCACAGAGAUCAUUUGGAACGUCGAAGCUGCAUGUCUGCAUCAUGCAGACUGAGGGGGAAGAAGAAGGGGGAGGGAGGAUUUAGCUUUUUCUAGGAGGAUGAAGCUCCAAAAAGUAUGCCUUAGCCUGGUGUCAGAAUUCUGUCCCAGUCUGUGUCCUACUGUCAGCCACGGUGGGCUUUUGAGGCAGAUACAGUCCCACCCCUUAACGGUUUAUUCCUGGGACAGAUUGUUUAAACCGCACAUUCGUUUCCUCAUCUAUAACUGGGAACAACAGUCCCCGCCUGUGGUAAAUUAGAUCAUUUGUGGAGAGCAACUAGCAUAAUCCUGUGCUCAGUGUGGCUGCUUCAGGAUUCAAAUGUGUGAGAUGCGGAGGUAGAGGAAAGCAAGCAGCCCCAACUCUGGAGAACGCAGGGUCGUGGUCCCUGAGCUACUUCUGCCACCCUGGGCAGCUGGUGGAGUCAGAGAGAAAGAGGAAGAGGGACAGAGGCUUACCCCGAUUGCAGGAGCCCCGAUGGAUAGAGAUGGCAUCCAGAGAGAUGUCCAGCCUUUGGAGGAUGCCAUGAAAACCAGACAGAGAACACAGGAGCACUCUGGGAAAUGGAAACUACAAGGGUGGAAAUGUAAAAUCCAACGAAGAGAAAUGAAAUGAGAGCAGGAGAGAAGGAAAGCAAGAAAGCCAAGAGAAAGAGACUCGGAGAAUCCGUCUGGGAAGUCUAACAUCCAACCAAAAGUGUUCAAAACAGAAAGAACCAAAAAAAUGGCUUAAGAGAAACCACCCAAGAAGAUUUCCUGGGACUGAGAUACAAGUCUCUUGAUUAGAAGGGGUCUCAUGUGAUGAAUGCAAGGACACCCACGGAAGGCAUGUCAUGAGAUUCGAGAGUGGCAGGGGGAAGAGAAGACCCUAACCACUUUCAGAUAGAAAAAAGCAGGUCACGUACUAAGGAUCAGGAAUCAGCAUUGCGUCAGGCUUUUCAAUAGCAACCAUGGGUUCUAAGAGGCCGUGGAACAUUGUCGGCAGAAUUCCAACAGAAAAUCAUUUCAAACCUAAAAUUCUAUUGCUGGCAACAGUGGCAUAAACGACUGGCCGGUCAAAUAAGGUGGGACUGGAAACUCUUUAUGACAAAGAACAGAAAAAAUCAAGUCCCAGAGGAAGACGUGCCCCCAGCCAGUAAACGUCGGAAAAGAGGUUCACUAGUACUAAGGAAAAUCCUAGUCAAAACCACAGCUGUCACAGUGACCACUGUUUAAGGGACUGAAAGCAUUGCGUGUUGGCCAGGAUGUAGGUAGACACACUCAUAUAUACUGAUGCUAAGACUGUAGGUUGGGGGAAACUUCUCGGACAGUGACUCAAACUUUCUAGCGUGCGUGGUUUUGACCCCACCUUACCUUUCUAGAAUCUCCCCACAGAUAUCCGUGUGUAUUUGCCCAAAUCUGGGCACCCCUUAAAGAUGAUCACUGUGGCAUGGUUUACAAUAGGAAAAGUCGAGGUUACCUAAAUGUUUAGCAGCAGAUAGGCUGUUGGAUUGUGGUCAAGGAAUAUUGUUCAUAAGAAGCAGUAUUAUGGAGGUAUUAAAAAGAAUGGCGCAGGGCGCCUGGGUGGCACAGCGGUUAAGCGUCUG